ACUCGAGUGGCGAACGGGUGAGUAACACGUGGGUGAUCUGCCUUGCACUUCGGGAUAAGCCUGGGAAACUGGGUCUAAUACCGGAUAGGAGCCAUUUUUAGUGUGAUGGUUGGAAAGUUUUUCGGUGUAGGAUGAGCUCGCGGCCUAUCAGCUUGUUGGUGGGGUAAUGGCCUACCAAGGCGGCGACGGGUAGCCGGCCUGAGAGGGUGGACGGCCACAUUGGGACUGAGACACGGCCCAG
rnacentral:rRNA from 1 species